rnacentral:tRNA from 1 species
GAGGGUAUAGUUCAGUGACAGAGCGCGUGCUUGGCAUGCACGAGGUUGUGAGUUCAAUCCCCAGUACCUCUA